AAUAUUUGACAAUGGGCGAAAGCCUGAUCCAGCCAUGCCGCGUGUGUGAAGAAGGUCUUCGGAUUGUAAAGCACUCUAAGUUGGGAGGAUGGGGUUGAAGCUAAUACCUUCAAUCUUUGACGUUACUAACAGAAUAAGCACCGGCUACCUCUGUGCCAGCACCCGCAGUAAUACAGAGGGUGCAAGCUUUAAUCGGAAUUACUGGGCGUAAAGCGGGCGUAGGAGGUUCAGUAAGAUGGAAGUGAAAUCCCCGGGCUUAACCUGGGAACUGCUUUCAUAACUGCUGAGCUAGAGUACGGUAGAGGGUAGUGGAAUUUCCUGUGUAGCGGUGAAAUGCGUAGAUAUAGGAAGGAACACCAGUGGCGAAGGCGACCACCUGGGCUAAUACUGACACUGAGGUGCGAAAGCGUGGGGAGCAAACAGG
rnacentral:rRNA from 1 species